rnacentral:rRNA from 1 species
UACAGAGGGGGCGAGCGUUGUUCGGAAUUACUGGGCGUAAAGGGCGCGUAGGCGGCCUUCUAAGUCGAACGUGAAAUCCCCGGGCUCAACCCGGGAACUGCGUCCGAUACUGGGAGGCUUGAAUCCGGGAGAGGGAUGUGGAAUUCCAGGUGUAGCGGUGAAAUGCGUAGAUAUCUGGAGGAACACCGGUGGCGAAGGCGACUUUCUGGUCUGUAACUGACGCUGAGGCGCGAAAGCAUGGGGAGCAAACAGG